AUGAACGCUAACGGCAGGCCUAACACAUGCAAGUCGAGGGGUAAGGCUCUCUUCGGAGGGUACACGACCGGCGAACGGGUGCGUAACGCGUAUGCAACCUGCCUGUAUCUGGAACAUAGCCCCGAGAAAUCGGGAUUAAUUUUCCAUAAUAUCCUUUAGUGACAUCACUUUUGGAUUAAAGCUCCGGCGGAUACAGAUGGGCAUGCGUGACAUUAGCUUGUUGGUGCGGUAACGGCGCACCAAGGCCAAGAUGUCUAGGGGGUCUGAGAGGAUGAUCCCCCACACUGGUACUGAGACACGGACCAGACUCCUACGGGAGGCAGCAGUGAGGAAUAUUGCGCAAUGGAGGAAACUCUGACGCAGCCAUGCCGCGUGAAGGAUGACGGCCCUAUGGGUUGUAAACUUCUUUUCUGCUCCAAGAAACAGUCGUACGUGUACGGCUUUGACGGUAGAGCAGGAAUAAGCAUCGGCUAACUCCGUGCCAGCAGCCGCGGUAAUACGGAGGAUGCAAGCGUUAUCCGGAUUCAUUGGGUAUAAAGCGUGCGCAGGCGGGUGGGUAAGUCAGAGGUGAAAGCCCGCAGCUUAACUGUGGAAUUGCCUUUGAUACUGCUCACCUUGAGUCCAGCUGAGGUAGGCGGAAUGUAGUAUGUAGCGGUGAAAUGCUUAGAUAUACUACAGAACACCGAUUGCGAAGGCAGCUUACCAAACUGGCACUGACGCUCAGGCACGAAAGCGUGGGGAGCGAACAGGAUUAGAUACCCUGGUAGUCCACGCCGUAAACGUUGAUCACUCGUUGUUGGCAAUACACCGUCAGCGACCUAGCUAAUGCGCUAAGUGAUCCACCUGGGGAGUACGAUCGCAAGGUUGAAACUCAAAGGAAUUGACGGGGGCCCGCACAAGCGGAGGAGCAUGUGGUUUAAUUCGAUGAUACGCGAGGAACCUUACACUGGGCUUAAAUGUAGUGUGCAUUCCCGUGAAAACGGGAUUUC
rnacentral:rRNA from 1 species